rnacentral:rRNA from 1 species
UACGUAGGGUGCGAGCGUUAAUCGGAAUUACUGGGCGUAAAGCGUGCGCAGGCGGUCUGUUAAGACCGAUGUGAAAUCCCCGGGCUUAACCUGGGAACUGCAUUGGUGACUGGCAGGCUUUGAGUGUGGCAGAGGGAGGUAGAAUUCCACGUGUAGCAGUGAAAUGCGUAGAGAUGUGGAGGAAUACCGAUGCGAAGGCAGCCUCCUGGGCCAACACUGACGCUCAUGCACGAAAGCGUGGGGAGCAAACAAG